GACAGAGGGGGCAAGCGUUGCUCGGAAUCACUGGGCGUAAAGGGCGCGUAGGCGGGAUGGCAAGUCGGUCGUGAAAUCCUUCGGCCCAACCGAAGAACGUCGGCCGAUACUGCCGUUCUUGAGGGAUGCAGAGGAGACUGGAAUUCCCGGUGUAGCGGUGAAAUGCGUAGAUAUUGGGAAGAACACCGGUGGCGAAAGCGCCUUGCUGGGUCUGCACUGACACUGAGGGACGAAAGCUAGGGGAGCGAAAGGG
rnacentral:rRNA from 1 species